GCCCGAUAUUAUAAGAAGAGAUGGGUUGGGCUUGAUGAUUCUUUUCCUUGGUCUGUCGGGUUUAUUUCAACAUGCAUAGCAAGUGGAGUCGUUUUUAGGACCAUCCCCUUCAAUCUGGUUUGAUGUGUCAGAGCUAGAGUCAGGAGAUUGGUAGAGGUGAGCAUCUGAUUUUUUCGAAGGCAGGUCUGUAGCUUUGUCCAUUGUAUUUCUUGGUGUAAUCUCUAGACUCAAAGAUUCAUGGAGAUGGAAAGUAUAUAAAUCAGGUGGCUCAAAGGUCGUUGCUUUUCCUUGUAUGGUUUUGGGAUCGUCAAUGUUAUGCCUCUGGGUCUCAUCGGCGUCUUGAUCAUAGUUUUGGCCAGCGAUGUUUGUGUCUUCUUUAUCCAACAAAUGGUCUUUUGGUGGUGAAGAUUGCAAUGGAAAAGCCUUCAGCUAGAAACCGUACUUUGAUCUUCUGCCUUGUUACGCUGAUGAGGAUGAUUGAGUUUCCUGUAUCUUGCAAUCCCGAUUAAUUGACCUAUCCUGCCACAACCCACAAGAGAGAAAAAGUAUUAGCCAAAUCUAAAGUACCUUCGAGUGUUAGAUCCGUCUCUAAGAAUUGACCCAGCAUAUUGCCGAUAAUCUGAGCAUUCCUAGGAUUCAAUUGAUUUGGGGGAUGCCAUGAGCCUGCGACCAAAAAGGCAAGUGACUUGAGUGCAAUCUGUUAAAGGAUUGGAGGUGGACAACUAAGAAUUGGAGCUUUUUAGAUUCAGAGAAUAUAAUUUUCGAUACUUACUGGUCAAUCGUAAUCUUAACCCUUUCUUUUGCGCCUCUGACUGUGAGAAUGGGAUGGGAUGGGUGGGAGUUAUAUGUCCAAACUAGACAGUCAAGCAGGCGAUCUUCUGAGACCCUCUUUAUCUCCUUAUCACUACCAACGACAUUCCUUUUUUAUAUUUUUGAUAUUUCAAGGUAUUAGAAAUUUUUGCUCUUAUAACAAGAAAGAGCAUUAGGAUUUUUUUUUUUUUCUCACACAACCCAUCUAGCAUGCAAAAAUGAAUGCUGAAGCAGUCCCAGGUAAUCACUAUAACACGUCGGAUUUAAAAAUAUAAAACAAUGUUUACAUGAUAUUUAUAUUCUUGUGUUCAAUUUCCUUUCAGCAAAAGAAUUAAGCUUCCAAAUGGUCAAGAUUUGGAGGAACAAGGGAAUGCACAAGGGUCUCAAAAAUAUUUCUGAAGGAGAGAGCAAUAAGCACCACCAAAUCAAUCUCAUCACGUUCGAUCUUAUUACUCGCCCAACACAGACUUCAACACCCCCACACAAUUGAACCAGCGGCGUUGAGAAUAUAUCUUGCAAAAACGCAAGAGCGGACAUGGAUCAUGAAUCAUCAAAAAUCAAUACAAAGAACAAAAGUAAUAGUUCCCCAUAUUAAGUUGACAGGCACUAACCUUCAAAUUUUUCCAGAUACAAUUAAACUCUACAUCAGAUCACCUGUCAUUUGAAUCAUCCUACAUAACGUCCAGUUCCUACUGUAUACAAGUGAAGGGGGGGGGGGGGGGGGAGG